AAAAAAUUAUGGGAUAAUUUUAAGCAUAAUUAGUAAUCAACAAGCUUUUUUUAACAAACAAAAUUUUGAACGCCAAUAUAAAAUCAAUGGUACAAUGUAAACAAUCUGUUUCUUCGGCAACUUAACAUUAUUUUCAACGGUGAUUCUAUAUAAAAUGUAAAACCCGCUAAA